rnacentral:rRNA from 1 species
GAUGAAUGCUGGCGGCGUGCCUAAUACAUGCAAGUCGAGCGGUAAGGCCCUUCGGGUACGACGAGCGGCGGACGGCUGAGUAACGCGUGGGAACAUGCCCCAAACGUGAGGGAGUAACCUCGAGAAAUCGAGGCUAAUACCGCAUAUGGUCUUCGGAUUAAAGGAUUUAUCCGCUUUGGGAGUGGCCCGCGUACGAUUAGUUUGUUGGUGAGGUAAUGGCUCACCAAGACUACGAC